rnacentral:rRNA from 1 species
CAGGGAUUACCUCAGUAACGGCGAGUGAAGCGGUAAAAGCUCAAAUUUGAAAUCUGGCUCUUUCAGAGUCCGAGUUGUAAUUUGUAGAAGAUGCUUCGGGUGUGGUUCCGGUCUAAGUUCCUUGGAACAGGACGUCAUAGAGGGUGAGAAUCCCGUAUGUGACUGGAUACCUACGCUCAUGUGAAGCUCUUUCGACGAGUCGAGUUGUUUGGGAAUGCAGCUCAAAAUGGGUGGUAUAUUUCAUCUAAAGCUAAAUAUUGGCCAGAGACCGAUAGCGCACAAGUAGAGUGAUCGAAAGAUGAAAAGCACUUUGGAAAGAGAGUUAAACAGUACGUGAAAUUGUUGAAAGGGAAGCGCUUGCAAUCAGACUUGCACUUGGUGUUCAGCAGGGUUUCUACCCUGUGUAUUCAUCAAGUUCAGGCCAGCAUCAGUUUGGGUGGUUAGAUAAAGGCCUAGAGAAUGUGGCCCUCUUCGGGGGGUGUUAUAGCUCUAGGUGCAAUGUAGCCUACCUGGACUGAGGACCGCGCUUCGGCUAGGAUGCUGGCGUAAUGGUUGUAAGCGACCCGUCUUGAAACACGGACCAAGGAGUGUACCUAAUAUGCGAGUGUUUGGGUGUUAAACCCAUACGCGUAAUGAAAGUGAACGGAGGUGAGAACCCUUAAGGGUGCAUCAUCGACCGAUCCUGAUGUCUUCGGAUGGAUUUGAGUAAGAGCAUAUUGGGUGCGACCCGAAAGAUGGUGAUCUAUACGUGAAUAGGGUGAAGCCAGAGGAAACUCUGGUGGAGGCUCGCAGCGGUUCUGACGUGCAAAUCGAUCGUCAAAUUUGCGUAUAGGGGCGAAAGACUA